rnacentral:rRNA from 1 species
GACGAACGCUGGCGGCGUGCCUAAUACAUGCAAGUCGAACGGACCGCGACUGAGUGCUUGCACUUGGUCAAGGUGAGUGGCGAACGGGUGAGUAACACGUGGGUAACCUACCUCAUAGUGGGGGAUAACAGUCGGAAACGACUGCUAAUACCGCAUAGGACAUGGAAUCACAUGAUUCUGUGAGGAAAGGUGGCGCAAGCUAUCGCUAAGAGAUGGACCCGCGGUGCAUUAGCUAGUUGGUAGGGUAAGGGCCUACCAAGGCGAUGAUGCAUAGCCGACCUGAGAGGGUGAUCGGCCACAUUGGGACUGAGACACGGCCCAAACUCCUACGGGAGGCAGCAGUAGGGAAUCUUCCGCAAUGGACGCAAGUCUGACGGAGCAACGCCGCGUGAGUGAAGAAGGUCUUCGGAUCGUAAAGCUCUGUUGUUAGAGAAGAACAGCGCAUAGAGUAACUGUUAUGCGUGUGACGGUAUCUAACCAGAAAGCCACGGCUAACUACGUG